AAAAAGGCUUUUCUUAUAGCCAUACAAAUGUUUAAAAAUAAAAUAA
rfam:Stegodyphus mimosarum contig42795, whole genome shotgun sequence.